UACGUAGGGGGCAAGCGUUGUCCGGAUUCAUUGGGCGUAAAGAGCGUGUAGGCGGCCAGGUAGGUCGGUUGUGAAAACUGGAGGCUCAACCUUCAGAGGUCGACCGAAACCACCUGGCUAGAGUCCGGGAGAGGAGAGUGGAAUUCCUGGUGUAGCGGUGAAAUGCGCAGAUAUCAGGAAGAACACCCGUGGCGAAGGCGGGUCUCUGGGCCGAUACUGACGCUGAGGAGCGAAAGCGUGGGGAGCGAACCGG
rnacentral:rRNA from 1 species